rnacentral:rRNA from 1 species
UACGUAGGGUGCAAGCGUUAAUCGGAAUUACUGGGCGUAAAGCGUGCGCAGGCGGUUUUGUAAGUCUGUCGUGAAAUCCCCGGGCUCAACCUGGGAAUUGCGAUGGAGACUGCAAGGCUAGAAUCUGGCAGAGGGGGGUAGAAUUCCACGUGUAGCAGUGAAAUGCGUAGAGAUGUGGAGGAACACCGAUGGCGAAUGCAGCCCCCUGGGUCAAGAUUGACGCUCAUGCACGAAAGCGUGGGGAGCAAACAGG